GCUCCUGGGGCGGAGGGUGACAGCAGCUCUUUGCUCAGCAAUAAAACAGGGUGUGAAACAGCCGCGCUUUGGCAGCCUCCGAAGCAAUACCGGGUGCUGCGGAGAGUACUGGAAGGAGCUGAAGCGGUGUUCUCGCUGCUGGAAAACCAUCACCCCAAGCCAGAUUCUGGUUUACUGCGGUUUUUUAUUGCCUUCGGGGCUGCGUGCAGGAGCAGAGCAUCCGCUGCUGCCCGUGGAUCUGCAAAGAGGAGUCCUUCCUGCAGAGCCUCGAGGAGGAAGAUACUCACAAGGUGUCCUUAGGAAGGCCCAGGAUGAGCUAGGAAACUUGCCUUCCUGCCUUUUCAACAGAGAGAAAACGUGAAACGAUGAGGUUAGAGCACUUAUGGGUUGUUUUUGCAAGUAAUGAAUAAGGAAAACGCUGAACAGAGCUUUUGCAGGGCAUCUUUAAGGCUUCUUAAGGAAAAAAUCACGCUAUAUAAAUGAAAAUAAAGCGUGAAUGAGGUAUGUGUUGUUUAAAUACGGAGCGAUGUGCAACUCCAAACUGGCACGCGUGGCCCGCAAAAAGUGGGUGCUUAUAGCUAGGCAUGAUUUCAGUGAUGUUAUAUAUACAUAAUUUCAGAUGUGCGUGUAUAUAAAACAGUUGUAAAUAAAACAAA